AUCAUCUGUGCCUCUUUUCCUCCCAGCGCCUCUUCUUGUAAGCAGUGAUGAUCUAAUCCAAUACUAUGAGGUGCGGUGGAUUCAAGGACCUGUAAUACAGGAGAACCCCCUUGGCAGAAGCUGCAACUCGUUGAUAUCAAUGGAUUUAACUGAGGCUAGAACUUCAUUUCAAUAUAGGCUUUUCAAUUGAGUAUUUUUAGUAAUUUAUUAAUACUUGCUCUUGUCUUCCAUGUGACUCAUACAUUGAGUUUUAACUAUACUCGUGCACCCUCUGGUGCAAGAGGCUGAAAAACUCAUAUAUCUCGUGUUGUCAUCAGCUUCUUCUCUAUAUUAUUACAAGAGAUUGGAGUUAAAUAACAGCACAACAUCUGAAGACCCCUGUUUUUGGCCGAAUGGAAAUUAUGAUGGGAGGAUUCCCCGAUGGAAAUUAAGUGCUGGUUUUACUUAAAAAAAUCAAUUUUUUUUAUUAAUUUAAUCUAUUCCAUAACUGGAACAACAAUUUUGAAACAGAAGAGAGAUUUCAAGAAAUGGUAGAUCUAUGAACUGUCAAUAAUUGAACCGGAUUUGGUGUAUGGUGAGGGAUUUGCUUUAUGGAUUAGAUCAAAAACAAAUCUUGAAUGAGGUUUUGAACUUCAGUGAUGAAUUAAAAAAGUAAUCUCUAGUGGUUCCACUAUUCUUCAUAAAUAAAGAUGAAUCUUUUUAUUUUAGGAUUACAAAAAAGGGUAGGUUUAAAAUUUAAUUGUCUGGUAUAGUCAUUGUUUGUGAUGAUGCCCAUGACGAUUUAACUGAAAAUAGUUUUGAGUUGCAGUUAAGCGAAGCCCUGUUGUACAGGGAGAACCUACUUGGUGUAAGCUGCAAUUCGCUGAUAGAAGUGGAUUUCCCUGAGGCAAGAUGUUAUGUGCUUGAGUUAGCUUAGGAAGUUUUGAUUGUUUAAACUACUCUUUGCCCGAUCUAUUUGGGUCGAAGAGACUAAGAAACUCAGAUAGUUACUGUUGUCUAUCAGCUUCAUCUCUUGAUGUUGGCACAAGAUUGGAUUUAAAUAGCAGCACUACAUUUCGCCAGUACUGAUUUACAUUCUGUAUGCAUUUGUUCAAUUCUAGUAAGAUCAAGUUUUGAUAUAGAUGAUGGAUUUAGUGUUGAUCAACAAAUGCAAACGGCAACUUGUUAUUUUAUCUUUAGAUGAGAUGCCCUUAAUUGUUAAGAGAAAAGAACUGAAGCUUGUUGUUGUUGGCCGAUUGACUGAAUAAAUUGGAGUUGAAAUGCGGA